UGGUUAUUUACCUAUGGAGAGAUGAAGUGUUCAUUUGACUGAUGUUCAUCCUUACUUUCAUAUUAAUCACCGUUUUUACCAGAUGAUCUGAUAAAUGAUUAUUAUCUUGCAGGUAUAAUGUGUUCCAAUAUGCCUUCCUUGUGUGCGCGGGCUUGGCUACUGCGCACUAUUUGACAUUUGUAAGUUCUAAUUCCUAGAGGGUCAAUUUUCUUAAGUUAAAACUUCUGAAUGUGCUCAAUGCCUUUUAAUUUAUUAACCAGUACCUUCUCUUGCAUUUUCAUAAAUUCAUAUUUUAUGUGAUUUUUAAGCACUUAAUAACUUAAGGGAUACAUAAAUGCCACGAUGUGAUCCAAUUUUCUACGGCAAAAAUGUAUUUCUUAAUAAACCAGUUUUGUUAUGUGGGAAUCUGGACAGGGCUGUAGAAAGAAGAGGACUCGAUCUAAGUUCCAACUGGAGUAGAGUUGGUUAUGAGUGGUUUUUGUGAAGGAACGUGGAAAGUACUCUCGCUUUCUAGAAACGUUAGGUUGGAGCAGAUGCCCGUGGUGCUUUUGCUUGUGUUGGGCUUCAGUCAUGCGCACCACGCCUGCAGUUCUCUGUGAUCAUCACAUCUAGUAUGCCGCAGUUGAGCAUCUUAAUUAGCCAUAAACCG
rnacentral:lncRNA from 1 species